rnacentral:rRNA from 1 species
AUUGAACGCUGGCGGCAGGCCUAACACAUGCAAGUCGAGCGAGCGGCGGACGGGUGAGUAAUGCCUGGGAAACCGCCCGAUGGAGGGGGAUAACUACUGGAAAAGGUAGCUAAUACCGCAUACCAUCAGAUGUGCCAAUAGGGGAUUAGCUGGUGGGUGGGGUAAUGGCUCACCAAGGCGACGAUCCCUAGCUGGUCUGGGAGGAUGAUCAGCCACACUGGAACUGAGACACGGUCCAGACUCCUACGGGAGGCAGCAGUGGGGAAUAUUGCGCAAUGGGCGCAAGCCUGAUGCAGCCAUGCCGCGUGUGUGAAGAAGGCCUUCGGGUUGUAAAGCACUGUCAGCGGGGAGGCGUUACCCGCAGAAGAAGCACCGGCUAACUCCGUGCCAGCAGCCGCGGUAAUUC